rnacentral:lncRNA from 1 species
AGAGAAAGGGAGCAGCACUCUGAACCAUUUCAGGAUUGUGGAAGAUUUUGCAAGCUCUUUUACAGCAGUGGGGAACUGCAGCGCUUUAAGUACAUCACCGGUCUGGACAGAUUGUUGUAUACAAACAUAAAUAUGUACAUACAUAUGUACAUUUGUAUAUUACCCAAUUCUCUAUGGGUAAAAAGCCCGAAAUGUUGGCAUUUAUGUAAUUUUGUAAUAAAUAAAAAUUAAUUGUUAAUAAAUGUUUUUGUAUAGUUG